rnacentral:rRNA from 1 species
UAAGCGGAGGAAAAGAAACUAACAAGGAUUUCCCUAGUAGCGGCGAGCGAACCGGAAACAGCCCAGCUUGAAAAUCGUGGCACUCCGUGCCCCGAAUUGUAGUCUGGAGAAGGGUCCUCUGCAGCAGACCGGGCUUAGGUUCCCUGGAAAGGGACGCCGGAGAGGGUGAGAGCCCCGUUCAGCCCGGACCCUGUUGCGUGACGAGGCUCUUUCAACGAGUCGGGUUGCUUGGGAAUGCAGCCUUAAGCGGGUGGUAAACUCCAUCCAAGGCUAAAUACUGGCGAGAGACCGAUAGCGCACAAGUACCGCGAGGGAAAGAUGAAAAGGACUUUGAAAAGAGAGUCAAAGAGUGCUUGAAAUUGCUGGGAGGGAAGCGAAUGGAUGCUCUGUGUGCCCCCUGGUUGUGUGCGGAACGGCUGGAUGACCGCUGGUCCGCCGACCAACUCAGGGCGGCUCGCCAGCGUGGGGGCCAUCUGCGGGAUAAUGACCGUGGGCCUCGGCCCCGGUUGAUGUCGCGGGUGGCCCCGUGGACUGGGGUGCGCGCCCUCGUGGCGGCGCGAAAGCGCCUGCGUGCCCCGGACGCUGGUGCCUUGGGCGUUCCAUCCGACCCGUCUUGAAACACGGACCAAGGAGUCUAACAUGUAUGCGAGUCUGCGGGUGUCAAACCCGGCAGGCGCAAGGAAACUGACUUGUGGGAUCCCCCUAGGGGGUGCACCACAGACCGACCUUGAUCUUCUGUGAAAGGUUCGAGUGCUAGCAUACCUGUUGGGACCCGAAAGAUGGUGAACUAUGCCUGAGCAGGGCGAAGCCAGAGGAAACUCUGGUGGAGGCUCGCAGCGAUACUGACGUGCAAAUCGUUCGUAUGACUUGGGUAUAGGGGCGAAAGACUAAUCGAACCAUCUAGUAGCUGGUUCCCCCCGAAGUUUCCCUCAGGAUAGCUGGAGCUCAGUUCGCGAGUUUUGUCGGGUAAAGCGAAUGAUUAGAGGCAUCGGGGGUUAAUAACCCUCGACCUAUUCUCAAACUUUAAAUAGGCAAGGCGCCGGGGUUGCUUCGGUGAACCCCGGCAGCGGAAUCCGAGCUCCAAGUGGGCCAUUUUUGGUAAGCAGAACUGGCGAUGCGGGAUGAACCGAA